rnacentral:rRNA from 1 species
CCUACGGGAGGCAGCAGUGGGGAAUAUUGGGCAAUGGAGGAAACUCUGACCCAGCGACGCCGCGUGCGGGAUGAAGGCCUUCGGGUUGUAAACCGCUUUCAGUAGGGAAGAAGCGAAAGUGACGGUACCUACAAAAGAAGCACCGGCUAACUAUGUGCCAGCAGCCGCGGUAAUACAUAGGGUGCAAGCGUUGUCCGGAAUUAUUGGGCGUAAAGAGCUCGUAGGUCGUUUGUUACGUCGGAUGUGAAAACCUGAGGCUCAACCUCAGGCCUGCAUUCGAUACGGGCAAACUAGAGUUUGGUAGGGGAGACUGGAAUUCCUGGUGUAGCGGUGGAAUGCGCAGAUAUCAGGAGGAACACCAAUGGCGAAGGCAGGUCUCUGGGCCAAUACUGACACUGAGGAGCGAAAGUCUGGGGAGCGAACAGGAUUAGAUACCCUGGUAGUCCAGACCGUAAACGGUGGGCACUAGUUGUGGGAACCUUCCACGGUUUCUGCGACGCAGCUAACGCAUUAAGUGCCCCGCUGGGGAGUACGAUCGCAAGAUUAAAACUCAAAGGAUUGACGG